GCUUCUGUAGCUCAGUUGGUUAGAGCUUUGUACUUAUAAGGGCGCCUGUUUCUCCCACGCAUUCAAUGCAAGGGUCGCCAGUUCAAUCCUGGCCGGAAGCA